ACAAAAUAUUUGGGCCCCCGGCUGCCUCAAAAGGGCGAAGGGGGAUCCUGAAACAUUUGUGUGCACCAUAUCUGUCUUUGGCAGUUCGAGUGUCCCGGGGUUUGGAGGCCUUCAUCGGUCGCUUCCCGGGUACCUACCCCUGGCUUCCACUUUUUGUGUUUGCCAAGGGUUGGGCUGCCGCCUUUUUGAACAAACCAUUUGUCUUGAUUUUUGAUGUCUGAAAUUGUUUAAUCUUGAUUGAUUGAAUUUAAAA
rnacentral:misc_RNA from 1 species